CUUGACCACCCAGGAGCUUGGCUGCGCCUGCUGCAGUCUGCGUUUCUGAUAAAUUGAAACCAGUUUUAAUUCUUCUGCCUGGGAGACCUAACCGCUGAAUGCGUUCAGAGCUGUACUAGAAUGCAAGGAGAUGUUCACAGGGAAGAUGGAAAGCAAGCUAUGUAUCAUCAGCAUUGGGAGCAAGAGCCACAAACCUCAUUUUCAAGUUGGGAAGAAACUUAGGACCCGAGAAGCUACAGGAUUCAGCCCAGUCACAGAGCUUGGUGUGUAUUUGUUCAUUCACGCACUGCUAUAAAGAAAUACCUGAGACUGGAUAAUUUAUAAAGAAAAUAAGUUAAUUGACUCAGUUGUGCAGGCAAUACAGGAAGCAUGAUGCUGUCAUCUGCUUGGCUUCAGGUCUCCAGCUCACUGAAAACAGCCUCCCCUGAUGAGCACACCAUUGUUAUGUAAUAGCCUAACCCUUACCUCUCACCUAUCAGGGGGUGCCAAGCCUGCAGACUCACUCUGCUUUCCUCAUAACUGCCCUGAGGAAUCCUCUUCCCUGAAGACUGAGGAAUCCUCUUCCUGCCUC
rnacentral:antisense_RNA from 1 species